rnacentral:miRNA from 1 species
AAUGCAGGAUUUCCAAUUAAAUUUGAAUUUUAGAUCAAGAACAAAUAAUUUUUAGAAUGAAUAUGUCCCAUGAAAUAUUUGGGACAUACUUAUACUAAAAAUUAUUACUUGUGUAUCUGAAAUUCAAAUUUAAUUGGCUAUGCAGUAUUUU